AUUGAACGCUGGCGGUAUGCUUAACAUAUGCAAGUCGAACGGCAGCACGGUAUGUAGCAAUACAUAUGGGUGGCAAGUGGCGGACGGGUGAGUAACGCGUAGGAAUCUGCCCUCAAGCGGGGGACAACCCGAGGAAACUCGGGCUAAUACCGCCUAAACUCGGAAGAGAAAAGCUGGGGUAACCUGGCACUUGAGGAGGAGCCUGCGUCUGAUUAGCUAGUUGGUAGGGUAAAGGCCUACCGAGGCGAUGAUCAGUAGCUGGUCUGAGAGGAUGACCAGCCACACUGGAACUGAGACACGGUCCAGACUCCUACGGGAGGCAGCAGUGGGGAAUAUUGGACAAUGGGGGAAACCCUGAUCCAGCAAUACCGCGUGUGUGAAGAAGGCCUUCGGGUUGUAAAGCACUUUAGUUGGGGAGGAAGGUUAGCAGUUUAAGAGAUGGCUAAUUUGACUGUACCCAAAGAAUAAGCACCGGCUAACUCUGUGCCAGCCGCCGCGGUAA
rnacentral:rRNA from 1 species